GGCCUCUUGUUUAUAUAUGAGGUCUGACCUGCCCGGUGAAAUUAUUUUAACGGCCGCAGUAUUUUGACUGUGCAAAGGUAGCAUAAUCAUUAGUCUUUUAAUAGGGGGCUGGAAUGAAGGGUUUGACGAGGUGUUAACUGUCUCAUUAAAUUUUUUAUUAAAAUUUAACUUUUCAGUUAAAAGGCUGAAAUUUUAUUGGAAGACGAGAAGACCCUAUAGAGCUUUAUAAUUGAAUAUUUAAUUAUUAUUUGUUUAUUAUUUUUUAUUAUUUAUUUAAUUAUUUUGUUGGGGUGACAAAAAUAUAUAAUUAACUUUUUUAUUUGAUUAACAUUGAUUAAUGAAUAUUAGAUCCAAUCUUAUUGAUUGUUAGAUUAAGUUACCUUAGGGAUAACAGCGUAAUCUUCCUUCAGAGUUCAUAUUUACGGGAAGGCUUGCGACCUCGAUGUUGGAUUAAGAUAAUAGUUAGGUGUAGCCGCUUAAUGUAUAGGUCUGUUCGACCUUUAAAUUCUU
rnacentral:rRNA from 1 species